rnacentral:lncRNA from 1 species
UAUCAAUCAAGAAAUCCCCAUACAAACCCAUUAUUUCAACUGAAUCAAUCUCUCGCUUUCAUUACAGAGGACACUCUCUGUCGCACUCGCAACCAGCAAUCCGAAUCCGCUUUUGCUCUCACUUCCUAGUAUUAAAUUCAAUUUCUUGGUUAUUAUUCGCUUUAAUUCUGAUUUUGGUUGUUAAAUCUAACGCUUUUUGCAGGCUUAUUUUUUUGUUUAAUUGUUUGCAGGGAAUUCUAUUUCACGCUCUCUCUCUCUUUUAGUUUCAUAUAUUUUGUUGUUUGUGUAUUUAUUUUUGUGCUAACGGUAAUGAAAUUCAUCUGCAUCUUCGAACAAGACUCAAUCGCAAAGACGGAGUUCGAGAGUGAAUGUAUGUGGUUGUUUUACUGUGUUCAAUAUUCUAGCAUAGGACAGAUAUAUCUAUGUUAAGAAGAAACUUUUUGGAAUUGGGACUUGGGAGAAAAAGAAAGAAAAUUUAAUUUAAAAUUGGUCAUGUUUUUCGAUUGCACAGCACUCAAUGAUUUUCGAUUUAAUUCUACAAAUUGGGUGGAUUUUAUUUGUUUUACAAUGUGGGUUUUUGAUAAGAUUGUUUUGAAAUUGUCUAUUUGAUAAGAGGAAAGAAAAUAAUUAUCUUAAAAUUGAGUAUAUAUUUUUCCAAUUCUGAUUCCAAAUUCCACGCUAUCUCAUCUGCAAUUAUGCUUUAUGUUUAUCAAUUUUAUUCGACAAAUUAGGUAGUUUUUAUUUGCUUUACAAUACGUGUUUUGAAUAUGAUUUAUAAACUUAGGGUUUUGAAGUAGUCCGAUAAGUUAAAAUUGACCUCGACAUCUGAAAUCAUGUUUUUCUUCUGUGUUUUAAAUUGGAUUUUAGAAUUUGUUUAAUUUAUGUUAAUUUUAGAAGAACAUAACUAUGUAUCUAAGAAAUACGAUGCUUUUAUUUUGUGCAGUUGGAUCCUUUCGUAUCGAACAGAUUAGCGAUGAAUUUUGACUACGCGUGUUACAUGCUUGCAAAAGCAAGGAAAGGUAAGGAAAAUCCUAUGCUAGUCUCUUCAUCCAGAAAGACGUACAGAAAAUAGCUUGCUGAAGCCUUGAAUAUGAAUAGAACUAGGAUUCUUGCUUUCAAAAACAAAUCGCCUACCCGCAAAUGGGGAUGGCAAUGGGCGGGCUGACCUUUUACCAACAAGCUUGUUACAAAUGAGCCGAGCUCGCUUUUUUUCCUUUUUUUUUUUUUUUUGCUGAAAAUAGAUAAAGCAAAAACUAUGUUUUUUUAACAAAAAAUAAAUAAACCAAACAAAAAAAUUUGAUUACUUUUUCUUUUUAAAAUAAAUGAAAUAUAAACCCUCAUCCUUUAUUCGAAUUUGGGACCGACUACUUAAAUUUUGAGUAGGCGAAAUUAAAAAUUGAACACGAACAACUUGUAAUAUGUACAAUUUUUUAAAGAUAAUUAAAAACAGUAUUAUAAAAUGACAAAUUGUGAUUAAACUGGGAUAAUUAAAUAUCACUUACUUGACGACAUAUAAUUUUGACAUAUUUAUCUUAUAUUCGGAAAUGAGCGUCCUGCCAAACAUUCACGUACAUUAAUGCUUAUAAAAUAUCUUUUUUCAGUCGACUUCUAACCUCGGACAAAAUCCUCUUACAUGCACUAAAAGCAGACUUCAAAGCUAUAGUGCUAACCGAAGGUGUCGGUAAAUCUUUUACAAUUGCGAAAACUACUAGCCAUCAUCGUUCGUACCUCUACAAGAAUUCAAUAACAUUUUCGGAACUUUUUUUAAUUGUUUUAUUAGUAGGCAUAUUAUGAUUAAAGUAAUCAAUUAAUUCAGCAGACAAAGUAUUUGCACUUUCGUCCGAUGUUGGGCUGAUGGAGAUGCAGCAAACAAAGUAUUACUAAUGAAGAUGAACCUAUUGCAUUUGAAUCAUACCUAUACGUGUUUAUGCCUUGAAAUAAAUUAUAUAUUGCAGCAUCGUUUUCUUCAAGUUCAGUAGAAGAAGUAGGGGCAAAGGGUAUUCAACUAAUAUUUGUACCCAUUCGUUCAACAUAUAAUUCAUACAUUUCACUUAAAGUUUGUUCUAAAUUUCUAUAUGUGAUAGGUGUACCAAAAGUUAAAGCUUUAGAAAUUUGAUCAAUUGUAUAUUUAGUUCGCGAUAAAUUAUAUUGGGGGUCCAUUA